UACGGGAGGCAGCAGUGGGGAAUCUUGCGCAAUGGCCUAACGGCUGACGCAGCGACGCCGCGUGUGGGAUGAAGCUCUUCGGAGUGUAAACCACUGUUGCCCGGGACGAAUAGCUCGAUUAAUCGAGCCUGACGGUACCGGGUGAGGAAGCACCGGCUAACUCCGUGCCAGCAGCCGCGGUAAUACGGGGGGUGCGAGCGUUGUCCGGAAUCACUGGGCGUAAAGGGCGCGUAGGUGGUUUGAUAAGGGUGUGGUGAAAGCCCGGGGCUCAACCCCGGGUCUGCCGUGCCGACUGUCAAACUCGAGGACUGUAGAGGCAGACGGAAUUCCGGGUGUAGCGGUGGAAUGCGUAGAGAUCCGGAGGAAGACCGGUGGCGAAGGCGGUCUGCUGGGCAGUUUCUGACACUGAGGCGCGACAGCGUGGGGAGCAAACAGGAUUAGAUACCCUGGUAGUCCACGCCGUAAACGAUGGGUACUAGGUGCCGUGGGGGAGCGACCCUCUGGGUGCCGGCGCUAACGCAGGAAGUACCCCGCCUGGAGA
rnacentral:rRNA from 1 species